UACUUAAUACACUCUUUGAAAAAAGCAUUAAUUGUCGUUGAAAAGAAACAAAUUGUAGGCAGAAGAUGCUUCCAACCCAUGAAAAGGAGGAGUCAUGAGCGAUGUGGUUCAAAGUUUCUAUGUAGUUUCAUCACAACACUAGUACUUAAGACACUUGGGGGGUGAUCAGGGAAGUAGGAAGCCAAAUAUUUUAAACUUGCAUCUUAUAGAAUUGGCGAUCCUCUUGUCUCAUCAUGGAUUCGUUGAGUCUUUCUUCUGUUUCAGAACAGGCCAGGGAGAACAAUGUAAAUUAACUAACAAGUUCUUGCUUCCAAUAAAGCCUACAAGGCAACCAAAUCCAAUCAUAUACAGGAAAUUGCGUCGAGGAUCAACUGCAGGGAGAUUUCAAGAGAAACAAAUUGAGUACCCUACAAAUAAGGAGUUACUGAGAACAAUUGAGUACUUGACAAAUGCUACAUCAGUAUAUUAUGAGGAAAGGGAUCACCAUUAUGUUCUUCAUUUUUGUGAUGUUACCUGUGACUUUUCUCUGUUCAUGCGACAAAUGCCGAAACACUAAUUUAGACUGUAUAUGACUUUUGUCUCCACAUGCACUUAAUUUGCAGCCUGACAAAAUAUUGUCUUACAAUAAAGCCUAUAUUGACGAGGAAGAUGAAGAAGAGUGGAGCUCACAAAGCGACGAGGAAAAGGGUCAGAAGGAACUUCAAAAAACUAUCAACUACUCUAACGACAUAGUCACCAAAAAACGGAAAAGGAAAAGCAGCCAUGUUGACAAGAUUAGUUAUUCAGAUUAAUUUGCUUGCUCAGUUGAAAAAAAAUACAAUCAUAUAUCUUAUAAAUCUUCACUAUAUAAAUGGGAUUUGCGAACAAAGUAUAAUUUUGUCUGUGCAGAAAAUUUUAUAAAUCAUAUCAAUAUUCAAUGGAAAGAAGAAAAGUAAUGAAAACCCAAGUUGCCGUUUCAUUUAUGUUAACAUUUAGUAUAUGUGCAAACACAUUGAAACUGGGAGAAAUUAUUACAGUCUUGGAUGAUCCCUUUGUAAAUUGAAAUUUGAUUAUGUGUGUAAAAAUUAGUUAGGACUAUAGACAUGUAGUAGUCUCCGAAGAUGUAAUAAUCUCUCCUGAAGCUUAUAAGAUUAAUAUUUGAGUAAUUCUUUAUAAUUUGGACAGGCAAACAAGGAAUAUGCUAUAUCUUCUUCCUCUUCCCAUGUGAUAGAUAUCAAGACACUUUCAAAACUUUAGAACGUGGAAGCCAAGGAUUAAGAAAAAAUGAUUCUCACAUAGUAAGUGCUCCCAUUUGUGAGACAUUCAGACAGUUCUGUUCAACGGGAGAUAAUUUGUCCACAGGAACAUCGUGCUGCAUUAGCAGUUAAGUUAUACGGAGUUCAAGCAGCACUUUUAUCUGCUUUGGGCAACCCUUUUGAGAACCUAUCCCAGUCCAAAAGCUCAAGUUUGUGGCAAGCCUCUGGCGGGUUCUUACCAGCAAUGAUAUGGACUGGAAUGUUCCCAGUGAGUCUAUGAAGCACGGACACUCCAGUCCCUUAUCGUGUCUGGUGUCCGACACUCAUCCGUGUCAGUGUCCGACACCGACACAACACCCAUACCACGUUCUAUAUUUUGGACAUUACAGGUGUCUACAUGUUAGCGUCCGUGUCGUGUCCAGUGUUUGUGUCGGUGUCGGUGCUUCAUAGCAGUGAGUUUUGUGUACACCGUAAUUGUGGUUUGGUCAUUGGCUUUUAGAGUGCCCAUUAUCUCAAUGCUGUGCCUUUCUCUUCUGUACUGUUUGUCUGUGUUGGUUGCUGCAGCAGGGUUUGAUGUCACGUGUGGCAUGUUUAGAAUGAGUGGCAUCUUGUUUGCAUCUUUAGGAGUUCUUGGUUUUGUUCUGCUCCUUCUUGUUGUGGUCAUGAUGGUGCUUUUUGCUUCCUGGAGUUGCGCUAAACAAGAUGGAGGAGCCAAGUGAUGAGUGCUUGGUGCUUGGCAUGCAGGGUCAUGGAAAACAAUUUAGGAUCAGGAGUCGUUCUAGGCUAGCUUCUAGACUUCUAGUUACCUUCAUUGAGGGCUUUCUACAUUUUUUACUACGAAUAUAGUUUUCAGGUUUAGUUGAAAGAUUUUUACAAUUUCAAAUCA